CUCCAGACUCCUACGGGAGGCAGCAGUGGGGAAUAUUGGGCAAUGGGCGCAAGCCUGACCCAGCAACGCCGCGUGAAGGAAGAAGGCUUUCGGGUUGUAAACUUCUUUUGUCAGGGAAGAGUAGAAGACGGUACCUGACGAAUAAGCCACGGCUAACUACGUGCCAGCAGCCGCGGUAAUACGGAAGAUGCGAGCGUUAUCCGGAUUUAUUGGGUUUAAAGGGUGCGUAGGCGGGCUGUUAAGUCAGCGGUCAAAUGUCGGGGCUCAACCCCGGCCUGCCGUUGAAACUGGCGGCCUCGAGUGGGCGAGAAGUAUGCGGAAUGCGUGGUGUAGCGGUGAAAUGCAUAGAUAUCACGCAGAACUCCGAUUGCGAAGGCAGCAUACCGGCGCCCGACUGACGCUGAGGCACGAAAGCGUGGGUAUCGAACAGGAUUAGAUACCCGAGUA
rnacentral:rRNA from 1 species